rnacentral:tRNA from 1 species
AGGGUAAAAGCUUCCACACCAAAGCAACUGGCUGUUAACCAGUAGACCGCAACAAUUCGCUUACCCUC